rnacentral:rRNA from 1 species
AUUUCCCUCUUUCUUUAGGCCUAACACAUGCAAGUCGAACGGCAGCACAGUAAGAGCUUGCUCUUACGGGUGGCGAGUGGCGGACGGGUGAGGAAUACAUCGGAAUCUACUUUUUCGUGGGGGAUAACGUAGGGAAACUUACGCUAAUACCGCAUACGACCUACGGGUGAAAGCAGGGGAUCUUCGGACCUUGCGCGAUUGAAUGAGCCGAUGUCGGAUUAGCCAGUUGGCGGGGUAAAGGCCCACCAAGGCGACGAUCCGUAGCUGGUCUGAGAGGAUGAUCAGCCACACUGGAACUGAGACACGGUCCAGACUCCUACGGGAGGCAGCAGUGGGGAAUAUUGGACAAUGGGCGCAAGCCUGAUCCAGCCAUACCGCGUGGGUGAAGAAGGCCUUCGGGUUGUAAAGCCCUCUUGUUGGGAAAGAAAAGCAGCAGGUUAAUACCCCGCUGUUCUGACGGUACCCAAAGAAUAAGCACCGGCUAACUUCGUG